rnacentral:tRNA from 6 species
GGGCGAUUAGCUCAGCGGUAGAGCACUGCCUUCACACGGCAGGGGUCACUGGUUCGAUCCCAGUAUCGCCCACCA